rnacentral:lncRNA from 1 species
UGCCUCUCUCUAUCUUCUCUCCGUUGGAUCCAAUGCCCAAAGGAGUUGUACGUCCUCCAUCUCCCCAGGAGGAGCUUGGGCAUCUCCUCUUCCUUACUGAUUUUUAGACCUUGGUUACUUCAUAAUCAAGGAAAGAAGAGUAAGAGAAGAAGAGAAGAAAAAGAUCAAGAAAAAGAUCAAGUGUUGAUCACGAUCCAGGCUUCAUUCAGAUUCGUAGGGUGAUUGUUCUUAGAGAAGAAAGAUCAACACCAAAGAGGGCUGUUCUAGAUUGAUCCUAAAUGGAUACCUGUA